CACAUUCCUGCCAAGAGGUUGUGGGAGAAGGACGAUGGCCAGAGCUUUGUGUUCAUUUCAUGCCCUCUGGCUUCUGGAGUGGGUGCAGCUGCUCUUGGGACCUGGUGCUGCCCCUCCAACCUCAGCCUUGAACCUGGACCCAGUGCAGCUCACCUUCUACACGGGCCCCAAUGGCAGUCAUUUUGGGUUUUCACUGGACUUCUACAAGGACAGCCAUGGGAGCGUGGCCAUCGUGGUGGGCGCCCCGCGGACCCUAGAUCAAAGCCAGGAGGAGACGGGCGGCGUGUUCCUGUGCCCCUGGAGGGCAGAGGGAGGCCAGUGCUCCUCUUUGCCCUUCGAUCUCAAUGAUGAGAUACGAAAGAUAGACUCCCAAACUUUCCAAACCUUCAAGGCCCGGCAAGGCCUAGGGGCGUCGGUCGUCAGCUGGAACGACAACAUUGUGGCCUGCGCCCCCUGGCAGCAUUGGAACGCCCUACAUAAGAACGAGGAGAGUGAGAAGACACCCGUAGGUGGCUGCUUCGUGGCUCAACUCCGGGACGGCGGCCGCGCGGAGUACUCGCCCUGCCGGGACAACACCAUGAGCAGGAUUUAUGUGGCAAAUCGCUUCAACAACGACAAGCGCUACUGCGAAGUGGGCUUCAGCUCCGCGGUCACUGAGGCUGGAGAGCUGGUGCUUGGGGCCCCUGGAGGCUAUUUUUUCGUAGGUCUCCUGGUGCGGGCGCCAAUUGCGGAUAUCAUCUCGAGUUACCGCCCGAGCACCCUCUUGUGGCACGUGGGCACCCAGAGUGCCACCUUCGACUCCGGCAACCCAGAGUACUUCGACGGCUACCGGGGGUACUCAGUGGCCGUGGGCGAGUUUGACGGGGAUCUCAGCACUACAGAGUAUGUGUUCGGUGCCCCUACCUGGAGCUGGACCCUGGGAGCGGUGGAAAUUUUGGGCUCCUACUACCAGACGCUGCACCGGCUGCAUGGAGAGCAGAUGGCUUCGUAUUUCGGGCACUCGGUGGCAGUCACUGACGUCAACGGGGACGGGAGGCACGACCUGCUGGUGGGGGCGCCACUGUACAUGGAGAGCCGCGCGGACCGCAAUCUGGCCGAGGUGGGGCGCGUGUAUCUGUUCCUGCAGCCUCGAGGUCCCUAUGUGCUGGGCGCGCCCAGCCUCCUGCUGACUGGCACGCAGCUCUACGGGCGAUUCGGCUCAGCCGUAACGCCUCUGGGCGACCUCAACCGGGAUGGCUACAACGACAUUGCAGUGGCUGCUCCAUAUGGGGGUUCCAGCGGUCGGGGCCAGGUGCUGGUAUUCCUGGGUCAGAGUGAGGGGCUUAGCUCACGCCCCUCCCAGGUCCUGGACAGCCCCUUCCCCACAGGCUCUGGCUUCGGCUUCUCCCUGCGAGGUGCCACAGACAUCGAUGACAAUGGAUACCCAGACCUACUGGUGGGAGCUUAUGGGGCCAACAAGGUGGCUGUGUACAGAGCCCUGCCCGUGGUGAUGACCACUGUUCAGCUACUGGUGCAAGAUUCUCUGAAUCCUGCUGUGAAGAAAUGUGUUCUGCCCCAGACAAAGACACCAGUGAGCUGCUUUAAUAUCCAGAUGUGCGUGGGAGCCACUGGGUACAACAUUCCUCAGAAGCUGUUCUUGAAUGCCGAGCUGCAGCUGGACCGGCAGAAACCCCGCCAGGGCCGCCGAGUGCUACUGCUGAGCUCUCAACAGGCAGGCACCACCCUGCACCUGGACCUGGGCGGGAGGCACAGCCCCAUCUGCCACACCACCACUGCUUUCCUCCGAGAUGAGGCUGACUUCCGGGACAAGCUGAGCCCCAUAGUGCUCAGCCUCAAUGUGUCCCUGCAGCCCGAGAAGGAUGGAAUAGCCCCUGCUCUUGUGCUACAUGGAGAUACCCACAUCCAGGAGCAGACCCGAAUCAUCCUGGACUGUGGGGAAGAUGACCUGUGUGUGCCCCAGCUCCAGCUCACUGCCAACGUGAGAGGCUCUCCACUCCUAAUUGGAGCUGAUAAUGUGCUGGAGCUGCAAAUGGACGCAGCCAAUGAGGGUGAGGGGGCCUACGAGGCUGAGCUGGUUGUACACCUGCCCCCAGGUGCUCACUACAUGCGGGCCCUCAGCAACAUCGAGGGUUUUGAGAGGCUUGUCUGUAACCAGAAGAAGGAGAAUGAGACCAAGGUAGUACUGUGUGAGCUGGGCAACCCCAUGAAGAGGAAUGCCCAGAUAGGAAUCACAAUGUUGGUGGGCGUGGAGAACCUGGAGGAGGCUGGGGAGCAUGUGUCCUUCCAGCUGCAGAUCAGGAGCAAGAACAGCCAGAAUCCUCACAGUGAGACUGUGCUUUUGGAUGUGCCAGUCCGGGCAGAGGCCCGUGUGGAGUUGCGAGGGAACUCCUUUCCAGCCUCCCUGGUAGUGGUGGCAGAAGAAGGCAACAGGCAGAAUAGCUCCAACAGCCAGGGCCCCAAAGUGGAGCACACCUAUGAGCUCCACAACAAAGGCCCUGGUACUGUAAGUGGCCUCCGCCUCCACCUCUGCCUCCCUGGCCAGUCCCAGCCCUCUGACCUGCUCUACAUCCUGGACAUACAGCCUCAGGGGGGACUUCAGUGCUCCCCACAGCCCUCUCCCAACCCACUGAAGCUGGACUGGGGUCUGCCUACCCCCAGCCCUUCCCCCCAGGCCCAUCACAAGCGGGAGCGCAGACAGGUGUUCCUGCCAGAGCAGAAGCAACCCUCGAGGCUUCAGGGUCCAGUUCUUGUGAGCUGCGACUCGGCGCCCAGUACUGUGGUGCACUGUGAGCUGCAGGAGAUGGCACGCGGGCAGCGGGUCAUGGUCACCGUGAGGGCCUUCCUGUGGCUGCCCAGCCUUCACCAGGUAUCCAGAGGCCCCUGGACCAGUUUGUGCUGCAGUCCCACGCUUGGUUCAAUGUCUCUUCCCUUCCCUACGCCGUGCCCGCCCUCCGCCUGCCUAGUGGGGAAGUUCAGGUGGAGACGCAGCUGUUUCGGGUCUUGGAGGAAAGAGACAUUCCCAUGUGGUGGGUGCUGGUAGGUGUGCUGGGUGGCUUGCUGUUGCUCACACUCCUGGUGCUGGCCAUGUGGAAGGUUGGCUUCUUCAAGCGGAAUCGGCCGCCCCUAGAAGCAGAGGAGGAGGGAGAGUGAGGGGGCGGCCCAUGCGCUGUCCUAACUAGAAGGCUGGAUGUAGUGCCUCCUCUGCCCCUCUUCUCCAACGAGUGCCCCCCAGCUCUGGUCACUUACAGGUUGGAGCUCCAUGGAGGCCUCCUGAUGACCUCCCCCUCCUACCAGAACUGGGCCCCCCCCUUUCCUGCUACCUAAUAAAAGAGGCCGAGCCCCAGCCCCCAGUGUGCU